CCGGGCCGGCAGCCGGCAGAAACGUCUGCUGAGGAAGACACUGCAAAGUGUCAGCAAGGGCGUCUGGGAAUUAAUUUCACCCUAGAGUAGCUGUGCAGGUCUGUUGAGCCCCCAACUCUACAGCUAUGAACACCAGAUAACACUAGAAGCAGUCUGAUGCCUUGAACACCUCAUACGAAGGGGUUUUCAAAAUCUAGCCACAAACAUAUGACCAGAUUUGAAAGAUUUUGAGACGAGGAAGGAGUCUAUUCUGACACAGCCUCACACAGGAGAGAGGCCAGUCAAAGCUGUGAAGAACACUAACCAGGAUUUUUCUACCAAGAGUCAAAAACCUGGGUCCCGGCCCUCAAAGCUCUCGAUGCUCAAGGAGAUGACCACCUUCUUGCAGUGUCCUCGCAAGGCAAAGAGGUUCAUCUAAGAAUCUACCUAGAAGUAUUCAUAUUCCAUUUGGACUUCUCCAUCUGGUCCCCCAGGAGAACAUGGCUAUCCUUGUCAUCAUUUUGCUGAAAUCACACCACCAAGUCUACCACAGAAUCUAAGAACUGAGAGAGGAUGCAAGAGAGCACAUCUUAGAUCAGCCCUCAGCACACAGAACAAGAUGAAGAAUGGUGGAAAGUGGGUCUGGAGGAAAAUGGAGAACAUCCCUCAGAACUGAGAUUUAAACCCUGGUUUGUCUAACUCCAAAGUUUUUGUUUUUCUCAAAAUUCCAGUGUCUUAAAUUCUAGAUACUUAAAUUAGUGUCUUACCUAGGAGCUCAUAAUUUCAGUUUCUAACACCUUGAUCUCCAAAUGCAAAUUCCAUUCUUAGACAUGUGACUUUGGCAGCCAUUAACUUCCCAGAUAACCUUAUUUCUUCUAAGUCAUCUUCCAAAUAAUGACCCAAGGAAACACAGAGGAAAGCCAUGCCAGUACCCAUGCCAGGACUGCAGUGUCCUGUUGAGCAUAUUAGAAUCCCUGGAGAUAUUGAUAACAUUUGCCCACACAAAUGAUUCGUUAAGAGUGGGAUAUCUUAGCAGACUCUGCCACAGCCAAGACACCUGCUCCAAAAAGUCAGUCCUUUCCUGAUUGGAUGACUGGCCCAACUCAUGGUCCUUUGAAAUCCUUUACUCCUUGGUUUUCUCUGACCUUUUUUCUCCCAUUCCAUCUACCUCUUUCUUAAGAAGGAAUACCAAGAGGCAUUUAUCAACCUCUUUCCUAUCCUACUCAGUCAGGGAAGUCUUCCAGUGACUGCUGGUUACUGAUUUCUGUAUAAUCAACAUGGCGUCAUCAAUGGACAGUGUCUUCCAUGACUCUGCCAAAGAUGAGGAAAUAGUGAUUGUAUUGGUCAGUUCCCAAGACAAAAAGUGAGCCACUUUUUCAAGCAGACAGUAUCACUGUUUUUAACAGGCAUGUAAAAUUAAAAAAAAAAAGUCAUGUGAAAUAAAACAUAAUUAUACAUGCAGAAAAUCCUAAGAAAUCUACAUAAAACAAGAACUAAUAGGUGAAUUUAGCAAAGUCACAGGUUACAAGGUAAUUAUAUAAAAUAAAUUACAUUUUCAUAGACUGUGAAAAAUUAGAAAAUGAAAUCAAAGAAACAGUACCAAUUACAGUAACAUAAAAAACAAAACAUUUAGGAAUAUGUUUAACACAUAUAUGCAAGACCUAUACACUGUAAACUACAAAAUGUUGCUGUGAUAAAUUGAGAAUA